rnacentral:rRNA from 1 species
UACGUAGGGUGCGAGCGUUAAUCGGAAUUACUGGGCGUAAAGCGUGCGCAGGCGGUUUUGUAAGCCAGAUGUGAAAUCCCCGGGCUCAACCUGGGAAUGGCAUUUGGGACUGCAAGGCUCGAGUGCGGCAGAGGAGACUGGAAUUCCUGGUGUAGCAGUGAAAUGCGUAGAUAUCAGGAAGAACACCCGUGGCGAAGGCGGCUCUCUGGGACGGUACUGACGCUGAGACGCGAAAGCGUGGGGAGCGAACAGG